UUUUAGCAUUCUUUUGCAGCGCUUACUGCGCGGCGAAAACCUUACACACAGUGAUUUCUUUCUUUGAAAACAUUGCUUUGGUCUGGCGCAAGUUGGGCCAAAGGUUUAUUAAACUUCAAUUUUAUAUUGAACUGUUAUUUUAACUAAAGUCAAUUUGUUGAUUAAAUUCAAAAAUCUUCAAAACUUUCAACAACGGAUCUCUUGGUUCUCGCAUCGAUGAAGAACGCAGCGAAUUGCGAUAAGUAAUAUGAAUUGCAGAUUUUCGUGAAUCAUCGAAUCUUUGAACGCACAUUGCGCCCUUUGGUAUUCCAAAGGGCAUGCCUGUUUGAGCGUCAUUUCUCUCUCAAAUCUUCGGAUUUGGUUUUGAGUGAUACUCUUAGUCGAACUAGGCGUUUGCUUGAAAAGUAUUGGCAAGAGUGGUACUUUAGGUGCUAAACUGUUUCAAUGUAUUAGGUUUAUCCAACUCGUUGAAUCUGGUUAGUUACUUUAGGGUGCUUAGGCUCGGCCUUACAACAACAAACAAAGUUUGACCUCAAAUCAGGUAGGAUUACCCGCUGAACUUAAGCAUAUCAAAAGGCCGGGAGGAA
rnacentral:rRNA from 1 species